GAUGAACGCUGGCGGCGUGCCUAAUACAUGCAAGUCGAGCGAACAGAUGAGGAGCUUGCUCCUCUGACGUUAGCGGCGGACGGGUGAGUAACACGUGGAUAACCUACCUAUAAGACUGGGAUAACUUCGGGAAACCGGAGCUAAUACCGGAUAAUAUAUUGAACCGCAUGGUUCAAUAGUGAAAGACGGUUUUGCUGUCACUUAUAGAUGGAUCCGCGCCGCAUUAGCUAGUUGGUAAGGUAACGGCUUACCAAGGCAACGAUGCGUAGCCGACCUGAAAGGGUGAUCGGCCACACUGGAACUGAGACACGGUCCAGACUCCUACGGGAGGCAGCAGUAGGGAAUCUUCCGCAAUGGGCGAAAGCCUGACGGAGCAACGCCGCGUGAGUGAUGAAGGUCUUCGGAUCGUAAAACUCUGUUAUUAGGGAAGAACAAAUGUGUAAGUAACUAUGCACGUCUUGACGGUACCUAAUCAGAAAGCCACGGCUAACUACGU
rnacentral:rRNA from 1 species